UAGGGAAUCUUCCACAAUGGACGCAAGUCUGAUGGAGCAACGCCGCGUGAGUGAAGAAGGUUUUCGGACCGUAAAGCUCUGUUGUUGGUGAAGAAGGAUAGAGGUAGUAACUGGCCCUUUAUUUGACGGUAAUCAACCAGAAAGUCACGGCUAACUACGUGCCAGCAGCCGCGGUAAUACGUAGGUGGCAAGCGUUGUCCGGAUUUAUUGGGCGUAAAGCGAGCGCAGGCGGAAGAAUAAGUCUGAUGUGAAAGCCCUCGGCUUAACCGAGGAAUUGCAUCGGAAACUGUUUUCUUGAGUGCAGAAGAGGAGAGUAGAACUCCAUGUGUAGCGGUGGAAUGCGUAGAUAUAUGGAAGAAUACCAGUGGCGAAGGCGGCUCUCUGGUCUGCAACUGACGCUGAGGCUCGAAAGCAUGGGUAGCGAACAGGAUUAGAUACCCUUGGUAGUCCAUACCGUAA
rnacentral:rRNA from 1 species